rnacentral:rRNA from 1 species
UGGCGAACGGGUGAGUAACACGUGAGUAACCUGCCCUUCACUUCGGGAUAACCUCGGGAAAUCGAGGCUAAUACCGGAUAUGAGCUUCUGCCGCAUGGUGGGGGUUGUAAAGAUUUAUCGGUGAGGGAUGGACUCGCGGCCUAUCAGUUUGUUGGUGAGGUAAUGGCUCACCAAGGCGAUGACGGGUAGCCGGCCUGAGAGGGCGACCGGCCACACUGGGACUGAGACACGGCCCAGACUCCUACGGGAGGCAGCAGUGGGGAAUAUUGCACAAUGGGCGAAAGCCUGAUGCAGCGACGCCGCGUGGGGGAUGACGGCCUUCGGGUUGUAAACCCCUUUCAGUAGGGAAGAAGCGAGAGUGACGGUACCUGCAGAAGAAGCGCCGGCUAACUACGUGCCAGCAGCCGCGGUAAUACGUAGGGCGCAAGCGUUGCCCGGAAUUAUUGGGCGUAAA